GGAUGACGGCCUUCGGGUUGUAAACCUCUUUUAGUAGGGAAGAAGCGAAAGUGACGGUACCUGCAGAAAAAGCACCGGCUAACUACGUGCCAGCAGCCGCGGUAAUACGUAGGGUGCAAGCGUUGUCCGGAAUUAUUGGGCGUAAAGAGCUCGUAGGCGGUUUGUCGCGUCUGCUGUGAAAUCCCGAGGCUCAACCUCGGGCUUGCAGUGGGUACGGGCAGACUAGAGUGCGGUAGGGGAGAUUGGAAUUCCUGGUGUAGCGGUGGAAUGCGCAGAUAUCAGGAGGAACACCGAUGGCGAAGGCAGAUCUCUGGGCCGUAACUGACGCUGAGGAGCGAAAGCAUGGGGAGCGAACAGGAUUAGAUACCCUGGUAGUCCAUGCCGUAAACGUUGGGCGCUAGAUGUAGGGACCUUUCCACGGUUUCUGUGUCGUAGCUAACGCAUUAAGCGCCCCGCCUGGGGAGUACGGCCGCAAGGCUAAAACUCAAAGGAAUUGACGGGGGCCCGCACAAACGGCGGAGCAUGCGGAUUAAUUCGAUGCAACGCGAAGAACCUUACCAAGGCUUGACAUACACCGGAAACGGCCAGAGAUGGUCGCCCCCUUGU
rnacentral:rRNA from 1 species